CACCAGACUCCUACGGGAGGCAGCAGUGGGGGAUAUUGCACAAUGGGGGAAACCCUGAUGCAGCGACGCCGCGUGUGGGAAGACGGUCCUCUGGAUUGUAAACCACUGUCCCCAGGGACGAAGAUGACGGUACCUGGGGAGGAAGCUCCGGCUAACUACGUGCCAGCAGCCGCGGUAAUACGUAGGGAGCAAGCGUUGUCCGGAAUUACUGGGUGUAAAGGGAGCGUGGGCGGGAUGGCAAGUUGGGUGUUAAAUCUACCGGCUCAACCGGUAGCCGCACUCAAAACUGCAGUUCUUGAGUGAAGUAGAGGCAGGCGGAAUUCCUAGUGUAGCGGUGAAAUGCGUAGAUAUUAGGAGGAACACCAGUGGCGAAGGCGGCCUGCUGGGCUUUUACUGACGCUGAGGCUCGAAAGUGUGGGGAACAAACAGGAUUAGAUACCCGGGUAC
rnacentral:rRNA from 1 species